GCCCUAGUAGCUUAGCUAAAAGCAUUGGUCUUGUAAACCAAAGAUCGAAGGUUAGAUCCCAUCCUAGAGCU
rnacentral:tRNA from 1 species